GACGAGCGCUGGCGGCGUGCUUAACACAUGCAAGUCGAACGAAGAGCGAUGGAAGCUUGCUUCUAUCAAUCUUAGUGGCGCACGGGUGAGUAACGCGUAAUCAACCUGCCCUUCAGAGGGGGACAACAGUUGGAAACGACUGCUAAUACCGCAUACGAUCUGACCUCGGCAUCGAGGAUAGAUGAAAGGUGGCCUCUACAUGUAAGCUAUCACUGAAGGAGGGGAUUGCGUCUGAUUAGCUAGUUGGAGGGGUAACGGCCCACCAAGGCGAUGAUCAGUAGCCGGACUGAGAGGAUGAACGGCCAAAAUGGGACUGGGACACGGCCCAGACUCCUACGGGAAGCAGCAGUGGGGAAUCUUCCGCAAUGGACGAAAGUCUGACGGGGCAACGCCGCGGGAGUGAUGACGGCCUUCGGGUUGUAAAGCUCUGUUAAUCGGGACGAAAGGCCUUUUUGCGAAUAGUGAGAAGGAUUGACGGUACCGGAAUAGAAAGCCACGGCUAACUACGUG
rnacentral:rRNA from 1 species